CGAAAACCCUCCUGCGCUCAGCGGCAGUUUCCAAGGUCCCUCGAGCCCAUUUUUUUCCGGGGUGUUCUCUGGAUAUUUAUUCCGGUGGCAGGGCUGUUUCUCACACCAACACCCCCGAACCCAGCCCUCUAUUUUCCAGUGUCUCCCCAACCUUUUCCUGCAGCAAUUUGCUGCAUCGAACCUUGAGCUAAAGCGAAUGAACCGGGUCAGGAUUGCAUAUGGAACAUUUGGCAGCUAAGAGUUCUUGCUGGAUACCAUUCUCUCUAAUACAAAACUUACUGCCAAGAAAAAUGGAGGCAAAAUUAGUUUGCAGAGAAACCAGAGGGGGAUCUCGGCAUGCUUGAGGAAACCCUGAAGUCUGCAGAAGUACAGAGCAUAUUUUUCAAGAACCAUCAAAGUCUCCUCUUCAGUAUACAACCUUACCAAGAAGUGGAGGCCUCCAGAGAUGUGUUCAGCCAAGGACCAUGUUGUGUGAUAAUCUGUUUGCCUACUUCACCUGCCCCUGCCUUCUCCAACCUUUCUCAACCUAGUCUACGUGGGGAGAUGUAUUGUUGAAUCUGAAUGGAAACAGAAACCAGAAACAUAACAUUACUACUGGAUGCUUUAUUCAUCUUGAUGGAAGUUUCCUAUGUCAAUGUUCAGGACAUUUAUGGUUUUGUCUGAAAUACAUCAGUUACAAACACCAGUAACUUGUCUGAAAGUAUUAGCAACAAUGUCAUUAUUGUCGUGGGUACCAACUUCACAGCCAUGUCCCAAAUCCCAAGAGACAUCAACUCAAACAAGAUGAUAUUGCUGUACCACAAGAUGCAAUAACAGGAAGAUACAGACCAGGGAGUUGACAGUCAACCAUCACCAUCUGUUCCUCUUCUUGGUUUUGUGAAAUGCACAUUUCAAUUCCAAUUUGGUGAGGUUGGCAAAUAAAUGGAAUAUCCAGCACAGAUAUAAAACUCAUGUCCAGGACAUUUAUUAAAAGCAAAACAAUUCAUAAUGAGAAUUAAAUACCGUCUUUAUUCUUUCAAAAUGAAGAAAUCGUUUUCCUCAAACUAAAAUCCAAUUUUCCCUGAAACUAGUAGAGGGUAAUUAUUUUGAGGUUAUGGAUCGUAUCUCUCUUUGGUUUUAUUCCAUUCUUUAUGUCCCUUUGGUUUUAUUGCAUUCUUUUUCUAUUUCAUUUUUGUGCCACUUAGAGCAGCAAGUAGGGUAGUGAUGUCACCAGAGAAAUAGGGUUGGGAUUUUAUCACACGCAUGCCUUUUCUUUUUUUCUGCUAUGUUUAGACUACUUUUUUUUUAUGAAAUAAAAUUAAUAUGUUAAAUCUU